UUAGAUGAGCUGUUGCGUUCGCGUGCACUGGUACAUCCAAUGACUCGUCUUGUGUGUGCUCAUCUUUGUCCGCUUAGCGCGGAGGCUUCAUCUUCACCCACAGGGUUGGCAAACAUUCAUGUCAUGUCCUCCUUUGCCCCUCAUCUGAAGCAGCAAGCGACAGAUUAAAAAUCUGAUCCUCUGCGCUCUGAACAUCGUGCUCAGACUUGACAUCAGACGUGAGAACAUAUCUCAACACCCCACCCCUCAAACGACAGCCAGUAUGCUAUUAUUAAAUGACAUUUGCGCACAACAAAUGGGAAGACGUAUGAGCGUUAUCUGAUAACUUUAUUAUCAAGUUAAAAAAAGACAAUGAAUUACAAUAUGUACAGAAUAUCCGGAGAUAACAUGGAAUCAAAUUGUAAACAAUCAUCCUAGGCAACGAUCACAACCCACCAUAUCAGGGAUUUAGGGGGAAAACGGCAUAGGACUGAUUCUAGUGUAAACCUAAAAAACAAAACAAAACCAUGUACAAAGUAUAUAUCCAGUGUGUUCUCAGCAGGGACUCAACUUUGGGUCAAGCAGGAGGUUUAUUUUUUAUUUUAUUUUCUUACAGCCAGAACGAGACUGUGAUGACACAGUGAAUGAGAUUCAUAGUCACAAACUAUUCAAUAUCAAUACAAAACCACCCCAAAAAAAAAAAAAAAAGCUUGGAGAGCCUCAAAUUCCAAGUUUGUCCCGGCAUCUGGUUUUAACAAUGGGAGGAGGUCCAAGUGGGAGAUGACAACUCGGCAUCGACCAGAUCGCUACACUUAUGUCGAGUAAGAGGACAGACAG